GCUCCUGAAUUCAGCGGCGGACGGGUGAGUAAUGCCUAGGAAUCUGCCUGGUAGUGGGGGACAACGUUUCGAAAGGAACGCUAAUACCGCAUACGUCCUACGGGAGAAAGCAGGGGACCUUCGGGCCUUGCGCUAUCAGAUGAGCCUAGGUCGGAUUAGCUAGUUGGUGAGGUAAUGGCUCACCAAGGCGACGAUCCGUAACUGGUCUGAGAGGAUGAUCAGUCACACUGGAACUGAGACACGGUCCAGACUCCUACGGGAGGCAGCAGUGGGGAAUAUUGGACAAUGGGCGAAAGCCUGAUCCAGCCAUGCCGCGUGUGUGAAGAAGGUCUUCGGAUUGUAAAGCACUUUAAGUUGGGAGGAAGGGCAGUAAAUUAAUACUUUGCUGUUUUGACGUUACCGACAGAAUAAGCACCGGCUAACUCUGUGCCAGCAGCCGCGGUAAUACAGAGGGUGCAAGCGUUAAUCGGAAUUACUGGGCGUAAAGCGCGCGUAGGUGGUUCGUUAAGUUGGAUGUGAAAGCCCCGGGCUCAACCUGGGAACUGCAUUCAAAACUGACGAGCUAGAGUAUGGUAGAGGGUGGUGGAAUUUCC
rnacentral:rRNA from 1 species